rnacentral:rRNA from 1 species
UGCCAGCCGCCGCGGUAAUACGGGGGAUGCAAGCGUUAUCCGGAAUCAUUGGGCGUAAAGCGCCUGUAGGUUGUUUAAUAAGUCUGUUGUUAAAGACUAGGGCUUAACCCUAGGAAAGCAAUGGAAACUACUAGACUUGAGUAUGGCAGGGGUAGAGGGAAUUUCUAGUGUAGCGGUGAAAUGCAUAGAUACCAUAAAGAACACCGAUAGCGUAGGCAGCUUACUGGAGUACAACUGACGCUGAGGCACGAAAGCAUGGGGAGCGAACAGGAUUAGAUA